UCCUGCGGAGACGCGGGAGUGCCUUCGGGAACUGUAAGACAGGUGCUGCAUGGCUGUCGUCAGCUCGUGUUGUGAAAUGUUGGGUUAAGUCCCGCAACGAGCGCAACCCUUAUCCUUGUUUGCCAGCGAGUCAUGUCGGGAACUCCAGGGAGACUGCCGGUGAUAAACCGGAGGAAGGUGGGGACGACGUCAAGUCAUCAUGGCCCUUACGAGUAGGGCUACACACGUGCUACAAUGGCGCAUACAGAGGGCGGCGAGCUAGCGAUAGUGAGCGAAUCCCAAAAAGUGCGUCGUAGUCCGGAUUGGAGUCUGCAACUCGACUCCAUGAAGUCGGAAUCGCUAGUAAUCGUGGAUCAGAAUGCCACGGUGAAUACGUUCCCGGGCCUUGUACACACCGCCCGUCACACCAUGGGAGUGGGCUGCAAAAGAAGCAGGUAGUUUAACCUUCGGGAGGACGCUUGCCACUUUGUGGUUCAUGACUGGGGUGAAGUCGUAACAAGGUAGCGCUAGGGGAACCUGGCGCUGGAUCACCUCCUUACGUAAAGA
rnacentral:rRNA from 1 species